GCUACAAUGGCCAACACAAUAGGUUGCUAAGCCGCGAGGUGGCGCCAAUCCAUAAAGUUGGUCUCAGUUCAGAUUGCAGGCUGUAACCCGCCUGCAUGAAGAUGGAGUUGCUAGUAACCGCAGGUCAGCUAUACUGUGGUGAAUACGUUCCCGGGGCUU
rnacentral:rRNA from 1 species